AACCAAUACUGAAACUUUGCAGAGAAAGUUAUGCAUGUUGUUGUUCAUCUGACUAAUUUUUUUAAAAUGCAAUAUUUCUUUACUUGGGAUCAUUCUUUGCAAGAAUAAGCACUCUAGUUCCAAUCCAGGUCUGCAUACAUAAUCCUGGUAAAAAUUUCAGUUGACUGCUUUGGGUGAUAUCUGUCUCCGGGGACAAAUACUGUGGAGAACGUGAGCAAAUUUAGUAGACGGGCCAUCAGGAACAUGGCAAAGAGAGAGGGAAGGUCAAUGGUUUAAGUUGCAUUUAUUUUGAUGCAAGAGGCUAACAGGAAAGGCAGAUGAACUCAAGAAGUGGACUGGCUCGGGGGACUCUGCGAGGCGAGAUGGAAUGGUUUUAAAAGUGCAAUAGCUAGGGGCAGUGUAGUCCUGUUGGGGUGAAGGACAAGGCUGGCAAUUGUAGAGGACUAUAAUUGAUGAGAUAUUCAGGCUCUGGUCAGGAAAAAGGAAACAUGCGUCAGGAUCAAGUAAACCCCUCGUAAGCAUUGUAGCACUAUACUUUAGAAAAAUCAGAUGGUCAACAAAGGGAAUGAGGUGGAUCUGGCAGGCAAGGUAAAAGUAAAUCCCAAGAGCUUCUGCAGAUAUGUUAAGAGUAAAUGUGUGGCUAAGGACAAACACUUCAGUUAUGGGGAGAGAAUGGGCAAGGUCAGAAUGUUAUUCCUUGCAGCUUUGAAGAUAUGAGGGUUGAUAUUAUAGAGGGGAAUAAAUCACGAGGGAUACAGAUGAGGUGAAUACAUUGUCUUUUUCCCAGAGGAAGGAUAGUCUCAAACUAGAGGACAUAGGUUUAUGGUGAGAGGGGAAAGAUUUAAAAGGGACCUCAGAGGCAACUUCGUGACACAAAGGAUGGUGCGUAUAUGGAAUGAGAUGCCAGAGAAGGUGCUUAAGGCAGAUAUAACAACAUUUAGUAGACAUUUGGACAGGUACGUGGAUAGGAAAGGGACAUGGGUCAAGCGUGGACAAAUGGAACUUGUUUGAAUGUGCAACCUGGUAAA